GACGAACGCUGGCGGCGUGCUUAACACAUGCAAGUCGAGCGGGGACACCAGAAGUUUUCGGACGGAAGGUGUUCCAGCGGCGGACGGGUGAGUAACGCGUGAGCAAUCUGUCCCAGACAGGGGAAUAACAGAUGGAAACAUCUGCUAAUACCGCAUAAGACCACGACCUCACAUGGGGUUGGGGUAAAAGGCGAAAGCCGGUUUGGGGUGAGCUCGCGUCCGAUUAGCUAGUGGCGGGGUAACGCCACAAGGCGACGAUCGGUAGCCGACCUGAGAGGGUGAUCGGCCACACUGGAACUGAGAAACGGUCCAGACUCCUACGGGAGGCAGCAGUGGGGAAUAUUGGGCAAUGGGGGAAACCCUGACCCAGCAACGCCGCGUGAGGGAAGAAGGUUUUCGGAUUGUAAACCUCUGUCCUUGGUGAAGAAGGAAGUGACGGUAGCCAAGGAGGAAGCCCCGGCUAACUACGUG
rnacentral:rRNA from 1 species